rnacentral:tRNA from 1 species
GGCUUGACAACUCAACUGGUAGAGCACUGCACUGGUAUUGCAGAGGUCAGGGUACUACAGUAUUCCCUGUUCAGGCCU